rnacentral:rRNA from 1 species
UACGUAGGGUGCGAGCGUUGUCCGGAAUUACUGGGCGUAAAGAGCUCGUAGGUGGUUUGUCGCGUUGUUCGUGAAAACUCACGGCUUAACUGUGGGCGUGCGGGCGAUACGGGCAGACUGGAGUACUGUAGGGGAGACUGGAAUUCCUGGUGUAGCGGUGGAAUGCGCAGAUAUCAGGAGGAACACCGGUGGCGAAGGCGGGUCUCUGGGCAGUAACUGACGCUGAGGAGCGAAAGCGUGGGGAGCGAACAGG